rnacentral:rRNA from 1 species
UACGAAGGGGGCUAGCGUUGUUCGGAAUUACUGGGCGUAAAGCGCACGUAGGCGGAUAUUUAAGUCAGGGGUGAAAUCCCAGAGCUCAACUCUGGAACUGCCUUUGAUACUGGGUAUCUUGAGUAUGGGAAGAGGUAAGUGGAAUUGCGAGUGUAGAGGUGAAAUUCGUAGAUAUUCGCAGGAACACCAGUGGCGAAGGCGGCUUACUGGUCCAUAACUGACGCUGAGGUG